CUUUCCUUAUCUACGAUUGGACUUCCUCCCCGCCGCUCAAACUGUCCAGCCCUCCAGUGUUUCAUACACGCUUACUGGAGGGUAACUACAGAGCCUUCCUACGGAGCAAGCAAGCGACUUGGUCGCAGGGGGAGCUAGAAUGAGGUAUACAUAUAUAUGUGAAGGAACAUGAAAAUGGACCCUUGAACUCAAGGAAUGACAUUACCAUGACAUAACCCCCCAGGCACAAUCUAGUAACAUUUUUGUUUAGAGUUUUUUUCUGUUUUCUCUUGUUUUCCAUCUCUGUCUUUGAUGGAAUACAACUAUGAUUACGUGGCAUUUUUCAUUCAUGUGACACUUGGAAUUGGACAUUGAUUGCGUAGCUAUCUCACUACUGUAAAGCCUGCUUGUCUCUUGAGGAGUGAUAUUUAAAUUCUACCUUGACACACCUUUCUCCUGCCUCCACAUAUCUCUCCUAUCUGUGGAAGACCGGGACGUUUGACAUCAGCACUUACCACGCAAUAUUCCACCGCAAUCUAGUGCUAAGUAAAUUGCUAUAGCCUCCUUGCAAGACCAAGGUGUGUUCAUUUUUGUCUGAUUCAUAGUUUAUGAUUGAUUGUUUUACGUUUUAAUAUAUUUGUUAUUUAAACUCUUGUUUGACUUGUAGCCGUCUUUUCUAAGUUGCACUUUAUUGAUAAAUAUUCACACUAAGAUAUUUCAAACUGUAAUUUAAGCAUUUCUUUGCGUUAUAUCUAUUUUUGUAAUCUUUGUGUAUAUAUAUUCUGUUUUAAUUUUAAACUGGAAAAGGGUGAAUAUUUUUUGUUUACCAGCCUUGUCUAUCGAUCAUUCCGAAAUGGACAAAUCUAGAAUCUGAUAGCAUUUAAGGACAAGACAUCAUCUGGAAUGGACAGAUCUAAGAUCUAUCGUUGUCUUCAGGCAUUUGCAUUGUAAAGGCUGGUGUUUUUACAUUUUGUAUCUGUUCCUCUGUUGGAUUGACACACUAAAGAGAAGAAUCUCCA